rnacentral:rRNA from 1 species
GACGAACGCUGGCGGCGUGCUUAACACAUGCAAGUCGAACGGUAAGGCUCCAGCUUGCUGGGGUACACGAGUGGCGAACGGGUGAGUAACACGUGGGUGACCUGCCCUGCACUUCGGGAUAAGCCUGGGAAACUGGGUCUAAUACCGGAUAGGACCAUGGUGUGGAUACUGAGGUGGAAAGUUUUUUCGGUGUGGGAUGGGCCCGCGGCCUAUCAGCUUGUUGGUGGGGUAAUGGCCUACCAAGGCGGCGACGGGUAGCCGGCCUGAGAGGGUGGACGGCCACAUUGGGACUGAGACACGGCCCAGACUCCUACGGGAGGCAGCAGUGGGGAAUAUUGCACAAUGGGCGGAAGCCUGAUGCAGCGACGCCGCGUGGGGGAUGACGGCCUUCGGGUUGUAAACUCCUUUCACCAUCGACGAAGGGUUUCUGACGGUAGAUGGAGAAGAAGCACCGGCUAACUACGUG